rnacentral:rRNA from 1 species
CAGAGGAUCCUCAUCGUUUACUGUGAAAAAAUUAGAGUGUUCAAAGCAGGCUUACGCCUUGAAUAUAUUAGCAUGGAAUAAUAAGAUAGGACCUGGGUACUAUUUUGUUGGUUUGCGCACCGAGGUAAUGAUUAAUAGGGACAGUUGGGGGUAUUCGUAUUCCAUUGUCAGAGGUGAAAUUCUUGGAUUUUUGGAAGACGAACUACUGCGAAAGCAUUUACCAAGGAUGUUUUCAUUAAUCAAGAACGAAAGUUAGGGGAUCGAAGACGAUCAGAUACCGUCGUAGUCUUAACUAUAAACUAUGCCGACCAGGGAUUUGAGAACGUUACUUUUUUGGAUGACUUCUUCAGCACCUUGUGAGAAAUCAUAAGUGUUUAGGUUCAGGGGGGAGUACGGUCGCAAGUCUGAAACUUAAAGGAAUUGACGGAGGGGCACCACCAGGAGUGGAGCCUGCG